AUUGAACGCUGGCGGCAGGCCUAACACAUGCAAGUCGAGCGGAUGAAGGGAGCUUGCUCCUGGAUUCAGCGGCGGACGGGUGAGUAAUGCCUAGGAAUCUGCCUGGUAGUGGGGGAUAACGUCCGGAAACGGGCGCUAAUACCGCAUACGUCCUGAGGGAGAAAGUGGGGGAUCUUCGGACCUCACGCUAUCAGAUGAGCCUAGGUCGGAUUAGCUAGUUGGUGGGGUAAAGGCCUACCAAGCCGACGAUCCGUAACUGGUCUGAGAGGAGGAUCAGUCACAUUGGAACUGGGACACGGUCCAGACUCCUAAGGGAGGGAGCAGUGGGGAAUAUUGGACAGUGGGCGAAAGCCUGAUACAGCCAUGCCGCGUGUGUGAAGAAGGUCUUCGGAUUGUAAAGCACUUUAAGUUGGGAGGAAGGGCAGUAAGUUAAUACCUUGCUGUUUUGACGUUACCAACAGAAUAAGCACCGGCUAACUUCGUG
rnacentral:rRNA from 1 species